GGGAUCUCCUAUUCUACACAAGUGACCAUCAGUACCUACCAAAACAAAGGUCGGCUUUAAGCUCAACCCACCGGUGGAUGGCAAGUUCCUGAAUGAGAACAAACCGGACCCUUGUCAAGCCAGUCCCUUCCCUCUGUGCCACUGACCUGGAGCUAGUGAGAAUGCACAUACAGUUUAGACUCUUGUUGUGGUCUCUUAUUGGAUGCACUUCCUGGCCUUGUGUUUGAUACAGCAA